GUGCCAGCAGCCGCGGUAAUACGUAGGGUGCGAGCGUUGUCCGGAAUUACUGGGCGUAAAGAGCUCGUAGGUGGUUUGUCGCGUUGUUCGUGAAAACUCACAGCUUAACUGUGGGCGUGCGGGCGAUACGGGCAGACUAGAGUACUGCAGGGGAGACUGGAAUUCCUGGUGUAGCGGUGGAAUGCGCAGAUAUCAGGAGGAACACCGGUGGCGAAGGCGGGUCUCUGGGCAGUAACUGACGCUGAGGAGCGAAAGCGUGGGGAGCGAACAGGAUUAGAUACCCUGGUAGUCCACGCCGUAAACGGUGGGUACUAGGUGUGGGCUCCUUCCUUGGGAUCCGUGCCGUAGCUAACGCAUUAAGUACCCCGCCUGGGGAGUACGGCCGCAAGGCUAAAACUCAAAGGAAUUGACGGGGGCCCGCACAAGCGGCGGAGCAUGUGGAUUAAUUCGAUGCAACGCGAAGAACCUUACCUGGGUUUGACAUGC
rnacentral:rRNA from 1 species